rfam:Schistosoma haematobium scaffold1219_2, whole genome shotgun sequence.
AUCUAGCUGACAAGUCUUAAAUAGGACAAAACUCGUGUCCUGGAU